rnacentral:rRNA from 1 species
GGCCACAGCCAUAUCAACCUGCAGCCCAAGACUGGUUGCCCACUGAAGCUAAGCAGGGUUGAGCCUGGUCAGUACCUGGAUGGGAGAUUAAACCGAGGUCCUGACUCUCUGUGGUCA